ensembl:lncRNA
CGGGACUAAACCAGGUCUAAACCAGGACUAAACCGGGACUAAACCAGGUCUAAACCAGGACUAAACCAGGUCUAAACCAGGACUAAACCGGGACUAAACCAGGUCUAAACCGGGACUAAACCAGGUCUAAACCAGGACUAAACCAGGACUAAACCAGGUCUAAACCGGGACUAAACCGGGACUAAACCAGGUCUAAACCAGGACUAAACCAGGACUAAACCGGAACUAAACCGGGACUAAACCAGGACUAAACCAGGACUAAACCAGGUCUAAACCAGGACUAAACCAGGUCUGAACCGGGACUAAACCGGGACUAAACCAGGACUAAACCAGGACUAAACCAGGUCUAAACCAGGACUAAACCAGGUCUAAACCGGGACUAAACCGGGACUAAACC